rnacentral:rRNA from 1 species
UACGUAGGCAGCGAGCGUUGUUCGGAGUUACUGGGCGUAAAGGGUGUGUAGGCGGUCCUCUAAGUUUGGUGUGAAAUCUCCCGGCUCAACCGGGAGGGUGCGCCGAAAACUGGAGGGCUAGAGUGCGGGAAGGGAGAGUGGAAUUCCUGGUGUAGCGGUGAAAUGCGUAGAUAUCAGGAGGAACACCGGUGGCGAAGGCGCUCAUCUGGCCCGAUACUGACGCUGAGGCGCGAAAGCUAGGGUAGCGAACGGG